rnacentral:rRNA from 1 species
AUACGGAGGAUGCAAGCGUUAUCCGGAUUUAUUGGGUUUAAAGGGUGCGUAGGCGGUUUGCUAAGCGGGAGGUGAAAUGCCGGCGCUCAACGUCGGAAGUGCCUCCCGAACUGGUGGACUUGAAUGACUCUGCCGUGGGAGGAAUGUGUAGUGUAGCGGUGAAAUGCUUAGAGAUUACACAGAACACCGAUUGCGAAGGCAUCUCACGAAGGGUUGAUUGACGCUGAGGCACGAAAGCGUGGGGAUCAAACAGGAUUAGAUACCCUGGUAGUCCACGCAGUAAACGAUGAUGGUUAACCGCUGGGCUUAUCAGUUCAGUGGCCAAGCGAAAGCGAUAAGCCAUCCACCUGGGGAGUACGACCGCAAGGUUGAAACUCAAAUGAAUUGACGGGG